ACUCCUACGGGAGGCAGCAGUGGGGAAUAUUGGACAAUGGGCGAAAGCCUGAUCCAGCCAUGCCGCGUGUGUGAAGAAGGCCCUCGGGUUGUAAAGCACUUUCAGUGAGGAAGAACGCUUGUGGGCUAAUACCCUGCAAGGAAGACAUCACUCACAGAAGAAGCACCGGCUAACUCCGUGCCAGCAGCCGCGGUAAUACGGAGGGUGCGAGCGUUAAUCGGAAUUACUGGGCGUAAAGCGUACGCAGGCGGUUUGUUAAGCGAGAUGUGAAAGCCCCGGGCUCAACCUGGGAACUGGCAUUUCGAACUGGCAAACUAGAGUGUGAUAGAGGGUGGUAGAAUUUCAGGUGUAGCGGUGAAAUGCGUAGAGAUCUGAAGGAAUACCGAUGGCGAAGGCAGCCACCUGGGUCAAGCACUGACGCUCAUGUACGAAAGCGU
rnacentral:rRNA from 1 species